rnacentral:lncRNA from 1 species
UUAAAAUGAGAUGAUGUGCUGUCUGUUCUCUGUUGCAAAGCAACCGAUUCAAAUAUACAGAAGCGCGAACAAUUUUAUGUUUCAAUAUUCUUUCUGGUCACCAUGUUUACUUGGUUACUCCUACAUUUGUUACAUACUGUUUCUAAUAAUGCAGCUAUCCCAGAUACCUUAUCCAGGCGGUGCAAAAUCAUUGGUACCUGAGGCUCCGGCGCCACCAAAUAACAUCCUCUUUAUCCAGAAUCUUCCCAACGAGACGACGCCGAUGAUGUUGCAAAUGCUCUUUCUUCAAUAUCCCGGUUUCAAGGAAGUUAGAAUGGUGGAAACAAAGCCAGGAAUUGCCUUUGUGGAGUAUGGGGAUGAGAUGCAAUCCACAGUAGCAAUGCAGGCUCUACAAAGUUUCAAGAUAACCCCACAGAACCCUAUGUUGAUAACUUAUGCCAAGAAAUAGACAGUGGUUUCUUUAACUUGUGUGUUAAGAAGGUCAAGAAUUAUACAUAUCUUGAACAAAGAGUUGUAUGAUCCUAUGAUUGUAGUUAGAGUAAGUAACUUUUGGGUUCUUGAAAAAAUAUGUAUUUGAUAAAUUUUAACAGGUUCAAGUUUAUGCACAAGAAGUUACUUUACUUUUUUUUUAAAUUGUCCUUUGUCAUGUAUUUGUAUUAUCUGAAAAAGAUUUUGAUUUUGUAUGUCUUUAUUGCCCAAGUUUUGCAAUUAUUGUGGUUAUCCUCUUGUGAUGAAAUGAAUUUUCUCCCAUUUAUGAGAGUUACUCAUUCUCUCAAACUUUCAUGGAACUUAAAUGGUAGGACAAUUCUCAUGGAAAUGGACUCUUCUAGAAUGCUAAGUUUCAUCUUUCAUCAAGGGUUGAAUGGACCCUCAACCCUCAACUUCUAUCAUUUACCUUUUUAUGCUGCCAUCUAAGCUUUGUCAUGUUAUAUUUGUGUUUCCUUAAGCAAACAAGGUAGCCCAUUGUAGCCAAAAGGUAGUUUAGUUCGCGAGACUUUUAUUUAGUCGGAUUGUGGAUAUUCACAACCUUAUCUUCACAAUUAGAAAAAAUGUUUCUAUGAUUUGAACUCGUGAUCUCUUGACCACUAAACAAUCGAGAAGGUAGUUUCUUUUAUCACCAAAAAGAAAGGGUGACUAAAAAUGAAAAAGAGAAAGCCAUUAAAAGACAUCACAUAGCAGGAAUAGAUUGCUCAUUGAUCCAACAAUAUCCGUGAACUAGUGUAGUUCAAGUAGUUGUGUGCGUGGUUCUUGGCCUCCCUCUAGGUAUAUAGAAAUUAACUUAUUUGGAAAGUUUGAGAAAUAGUCAUCUUCAAGUUUUUCUUAUUUGUCAAUGAUAGUCUUUGAGAGAUGCAUAACUUUCUUCCGGAUUUUAAUUGGAAAUGUAAAUUAAAUUUUAUAUAUUUGUAGUUGGUUAAAAAAUGUUUAAUAUAUAUGCAAUAAAUGUGUGAAAGUUUUUAAUAUUGUCAGUUUAUUAUCUAUCAUUGAUAUGAUACAAAUUAUCUAGUAUUUUUUACGUUUACAGUAUAUAAAUAUUAACAUGUUUUUGUGUGGGAAAUAAAUUUUCUAGUUGAUUAGAAAUUUUUAUAUCUAUCCUUGAUAAAAUCACAUGUAGUUUCCUGAUACUUUUGCACCUCUUUCUCUAAUUAUAUAAAUGUUGAGGGCAAACUUUGACAAAGUUAGAUGUUCUAAAAAUGGCAAAAAUAUAUUUAAUAUAAAAGGGGAAAGAAUAUAAACAAUUAAACAUCAAAAGGCAUAAUGUUUGAGCUUAAAACCUUUGAUCAACAAUUAAAAUAAAACAAAGAUUGAUUCUUUAUUUGAAUUCUCCGAUUCUUAAAACGGAAUGAACAAAGAUAGAAUUAGAGUAAUCUCUAAAUUCUUUUCUAGAUUUUCCUUACUGUGCCAACUUAUUAUAUAGCAUCUCAUCAUCUACUUUGGAAAUCGAAGAAUUUUUUUAGGAAUCUUACAAAAAGUAAAUCAUUCUUUUUUCUUUGGAAAAUUAUCAAAACUUCAUCUGAAAACUUCAAGCUAUUAGAGAGAUUUGUGGAAUAUCAUGAAAUAUAUAUCUAUUUCUUGUUAUUCACCGUUGUAUUUUGUAGUUGCUUUUAACUUUUGUUAGAAGGAUGGACCUCUUAGUUGAGUUUUAUGAUGGAAUAUUUUCAUUAAUAACAAUACUAGUAAAGGUAAAAUAUGUAUAAAGGUAUCUAGGUAAUUGAAUAUAUGUGAUUUCUAUAUUCCAACUUUGUCCUUACUAUUAUACAAAUGCAAAAUAUGCCCAAAAGACAUUCAUGUAAUUGAACUUUUAUAAUUUCAUUCAAUUCCAUUUAGUAAUGAAGACAUAUUUUCAUAUUCUAAUUUUACUUGUAACAUCCAUUAGAAACACAAGUUGAUAAAUUUAUAGAAAUGUUGUGCAUACACUUGAUAUCAGAAAAAUAAGAAUAUAGGUCGAUGGAUACAGAGUGUCAGUCGACACACUAGUAUUUAUAAAUAUAAUUCAUUUAUCCAAAAUAAUGAUCACCUAAGCAUUUUUUGGUAUAAUCAAUAGUAUCAACUCACAUCAUGAGUAACGAACUAUUUUCUUGAUCUUUUGGUCUAUCUAGAGAUCUAAAAUGUCAUAUACUAUUAAACCAAUGUCUUGUUAGUAAACAUUAUGCAUUUUGUUAACAAUGUAACUAUAAGUGAUAUUUCUUUUUGUUUGACUUGUCAUAAUUUGUAAGGCCCCACUAGAUCAAAUGUUCAAUCCUACCAGCAAUAUUUGUUAGAGGGGUGGUCACAAAUCUAAAAAAAAAAUUAGUUCCUUAAUAAAAAAAAAAGGUGAAAAGAUACUAUUCGUAAUAUAAAAAAUAAUUCUUUUGGAUUUACAGGUAUUAUUAAUUAAAAGCCCAUCACAAACCCAAACACCAAAAAAAAAAUCAAAAUUUCUCAUUUGAAACACUUGGAAGAGAACCCUAUCAUACUCCAUUCCAACGAACUGAGCAAUUGUCAACAAUCACACGCUGCCACUCAUCACCGUUACUGUAAUUUCAGCUUCUUUUUAUUAUAUUUGAACUGCUUUUUCCAUCUUGGGUAAUUUUGUGAUUGUGGAAGUAAAAAAAGCGAUUUUUUCAAAUAAGCUGUAAUUGGUUUGUUUCCCUUUGAUUAUGGAGCAAUAUGGUUAGGCUCUCCAAAAAAGUGGCAUUUUUUUAGAUUGUAGUUUGCUUACCAUUACAUUGAUUCCUUGCGGUUGUUUCAAUUUUUAGUUCAUAGCUAAUGUGUGUAAGACGAGAUUGAAUGUUGAGCAGUUAAAUGUCACGAGAAUAUAAAGUCAAGGUAGCAGAUAUGAGAAUGUUACGCUACACAUGAUAAAAUUCGGAAUGAAUACAUCAAGAAGAAGAAAAUUAGAGUAGCUCGUAUUGUAGAAAAGAUGGUAGAAUUGCACCUUAGUGGUUUGGACAUGUACGGAGGAAACUUAUAGAAGCCCCUGAAGAGACUAAAAUCCCCGGAAUUAAUUCCUAGGAAAAUUCUGAUAUAAUGAUGAAAAAUAAGUUGAACCUAAUUUUAUAUGUGCCAUACUUGUUCACAAGCAAAUAACACUAUACACAAGUGUUUUGUUCGUGAAAAUUGACUUUUUUUUGCUUUGGCUUUUGUUAUUUUACCUGUUUUCAGAGGUUGACAGUUGGUGAUCGCCUUCAUCUCCUAGAUAUGAACUCAGUCACUGGGCAUUUAUGGAGCUUCGUCCGAAAGUCGGGUCACACCGUUGAACCCAUCAAUAGUGUGCAUCCUCUACUACCCCAGCUUCAGCAAUACAGAGGCAUACGAGUGAAGGUCUUAAACGGGAACUUGGAACAAGCACUGGCAUUGAUGCAGCGUAAGAUGCAAUCCAGUGGGAUCGAGAGGAUGAUAAAGCAGGAGCAGAGAUUCCAUAUCAAGAACUCUGAGAAGCGUGUCCUAGCCCGAAAGAACUUGGAGCGGAGGCUUCGAUCCGAGGACCUUGCUAGGAAACUUAAGGCGUCGAAAAAUAAUAAAGAAGACAUUAACAACUUUUAUUUAUAAUAUUUGUUAAAACAAAAAAUGUAUCACUUGGUGGUAGACUAUGUUUUAGAAGUAUAAAAAGUGUAGUAGUUGUGUGUUUGAUCCUUCACACUAACAUUUUGGUAAAAAUAAGUUAUUUUCGUUUCAAAAAUAAAUUUAAAUAAAAUUGACUGGUAUGAUCGGUACGGUUCAAUUGAAAAUCGAUCGGUAUGACCGGUUUUGGCCAGUUUUGACUGAUAUGAUUGCAUGACCAUUAUAAUUAUUGUAUUGUGCCGGUAUUGGGACCGGUUCACCGGUUUACCAGUUGAACCGACCGGCACGAACCGGGUUUCAUGACACUGCUGACGACAUGCAUAUUCUUUUUCUUUGUCUCCUUUCUGUUGCUGAUUCAGAUAUGUUAUAGUUUACUCCCAUUUUAUGUCAGUUCAGUAGAACUUACAAGGAUUGAAUUUGGCGUUGCAAUUUAUGCAGAGAAUACAGUAUGCAAAGACUAAGUCAGACGUAAUAGCAAAGGCUGAUGGUUCUUUUGUUCCGAGGGAAAGACGUAAGAGGCAUGAUGACAAAGGUACAACAUUCUCUCUCCUCUCUAUUCUCGUUUAAGGAUGUUAUAUGGUAAAGCUUAGACAUAUGUGAACAAAAAAGAAAGUGGGAGCUUUUAGGUUCAAGUUGAUUUGAUGCUUUUGUAAAUGAUAAUUUUGAAGAACGAAAAGUUUUAGUAAACAUGUUAUCUAAUGUCAGCCUGGCUUUAGGCAACUACGAAAAUUGUAAUUAAUGAUUUCAUAAAGUCCCAAUAUUUUAUAUAUAUACAUCAGCAAUUGACAAGCUAAUUUUGUAGUUUUGAUCAUCUAGAAUGAACUUUUCUGGAAAGCAUGUGUAAUAUGGACCACAUAAUAUGGAUAUCUUGUUAAAUGCAUUACACAUUCGCUAAUUAAUUGCUUCUAUUUGGGAAGGAACUUAUAAGGAAGUGAACUCAAUACAUUUUGUUGCAGGCAAAAAACGGAAGGACCAGCAUGAUGCUAAUUUAGCUGGACUGGGCAUAAAUCCAGCUUAUGCUGGUGCAUAUGGUGCAACACCUGCUGUAAGUUCCUUCUGCUGUUCAGUUUAUUUUUGCUCAAUGAUCACGCUAUUCCUAUUAAUUUUCCGGUAGUCGGUCCCAUUUGAAUAUACCAACUCUACAAUUAUUUUCGCAUUGUAGUAAUUAGUGUUGAGAAAUGAGCUUUUGGAAUUUUGCUACAACAUCUAUUUUAGAUUAGAUAGGUGCAAGUGGAGCCCAUCUCAUGAAAAAAUUUCUAAUUAGAAAGCUCUCUUUUCAGUCGAUUGCUUUUCUUUUGAAAAAUAUUGAAAUUUUCUGAUAAAAGCCUUCAGAACAAAAAUUAGUGUUCUUUUAGCAUACAGUAAGAAAAGGAGAGAUUAUUUUCAACACUAGAAAUUAAAAUGAGAUGAUGUGCUGUCUGUUCUCUGUUGCAAAGCAACCGAUUCAAAUAUACAGAAGCGCGAACAAUUUUAUGUUUCAAUAUUCUUUCUGGUCACCAUGUUUACUUGGUUACUCCUACAUUUGUUACAUACUGUUUCUAAUAAUGCAGCUAUCCCAGAUACCUUAUCCAGGCGGUGCAAAAUCAUUGGUACCUGAGGCUCCGGCGCCACCAAAUAACAUCCUCUUUAUCCAGAAUCUUCCCAACGAGACGACGCCGAUGAUGUUGCAAAUGCUCUUUCUU